UAAAAGUCACAAAUUACAUAUUUAAGGAUGAAGAUAGCAGUGAAAUCAUGUAGCAUUGCAACCCCUGUCAUGCAAUGCCAGUGAGGAAAGGCCCCAUAACAUAGGCCUUGUCAAAGUAUCUCUCCUGCUUUUCAGGAUGCUCCAGUGAAGCUCAUCCUCAGCUGCUGAAUGGCUGAGGUACAUGACUUUUCCUGAGAGGAGAUGGGACACUGCAGGCCCUUCCAUCACCCCUGGAAAAGCUCCUACCAUUAACCUGCUGAAGACCUGGUUCUAGUAUCACCAGCUCCAUCCCA